GGGGUGCAGCAGGCGCGAAACCUCCGCAAUGUACGAAAGUGCGACGGGGGGAUCCCAAGUGUUAUGCUUUUUUGUAUGACUUUUCAUUAGUGUAAAAAGCUUUUAGAAUAAGAGCUGGGCAAGACCGGUGCCAGCCGCCGCGGUAACACCGGCAGCUCGAGUGGUAGCUGUUUUUAUUGGGCCUAAAGCGUUCGUAGCCGGUUUGAUAAGUCUUUGGUGAAAGCUUGUAGCUUAACUAUAAGAAUUGCUGGAGAUACUAUUAGACUUGAAGUCGGGAGAGGUUAGAGGUACUACCGGGGUAGGGGUGAAAUCCUAUAAUCCUGGGAGGACCACCUGUGGCGAAGGCGUCUAACUGGAACGAUCUUGACGGUGAGUAACGAAAGCCAGGGGCGCGAACCGGAUUAGAUACCCGGGUAGUCCUGGCCGUAAACGAUGUGGACUUGGUGUUGGAAUGGCUUUGAGUUGUUCCGGUGCCGAAGGGAAGCUGUUAAGUCCACCGCCUGGGAAGUACGGUCGCAAGACUGAAACUUAA
rnacentral:rRNA from 1 species